CUAAUUCCGUGAACCAUCGAAUCUUUGAACGCAAUUGCGCUCGAGGCUUCGGCCAAGAGCAUGUCUGCCUCAGCGUCGGCUA
rnacentral:rRNA from 1 species